rnacentral:rRNA from 1 species
CCUACGGGUGGCAGCAGUGAGGAAUAUUGGUCAAUGGACGAGAGUCUGAACCAGCCAAGUAGCGUGAAGGAUGACUGCCCUAUGGGUUGUAAACUUCUUUUAUAUGGGAAUAAAAUGUUCCACGUGUAGGAUUUUGUAUGUACCCUAUGAAUAAGGAUCGGCUAACUCCGUGCCAGCAGCCGCGGUAAUCCGGAGGCGCCGAGAGUUAUCCGGAUUUAUUGGGUGUAAAGGGAGCGUAGGUGGAUUGUUAAGUCAGUUGUGAAAGUUUGCGGCUCAACCGGAAAAUUGCAGUUGAAACUGGCAGUCUUGAGUACAGUAGAGGUGGGCGGAAUUCGCGGUGUAGCGGUGAAAUGCUUAGAUAUCACGAAGAACUCUGAUGGCGAAGGCAGUUCACUGGACUGCAACUGACACUGAGGCUCGAAAGUGUGGGUAUCAAACAGGAUUAGAUACCCCAGUAGUC